GGCCGCUGCGAUGACCUCAUGGCUCCAGGCUCCCCCUCAGCAGGGAGGAUUAGUAGGUGCGCUGACGUCACAAUGCUUUCCUCCCGGGAACGUUCCACGACGGAAUCCUGAAACAAUUGGAUUUUCUAAGAUUUUGAAGAGCCAAUCAAGUACCAUCAUUCAAGCACAACAAGCUACUUUCAUAUGAACAAAAUCUAAUCUGUGGAAUAAAGUGUGUCCCCUCAGAAAUGCACUUUGCUCCUUUUGUGCAAGAGGGGCAAAGUGCCACUGCAGCCCCACUGUGAGAAGUGAUAAAGUGACCCUUGAUACCAAAGUCGUGGUGUGACUCAGGAAACUUGAGCGUGAUUCCUUGGCAUCUUUCCCCAUAAAAUUUAGAUGAAUGUGAGUUGAGCAAGAUCCCAGCCACGCUUAUGCUCAGCUGCCUUCAUUUCAAUUCAGCAGGGCUCAUGCAGGAGAAAGUUCCUGAUGGGUUAGGCCUAAUGCAAGCAGAUCCUCCUGAUCAGAAGAAAUUAUGCUCUGGCCAAGCCACCCGGGAACACCUUCCCUUCCCUUCCUGUGAUGGAUAACAUUCCUUGCGAGUCUGUCCAUGUUGCUGCUCAGCUAUUUGGCAGUUACCACACAACUAACUGCAAUAAGCCUUCUGCGGUUGCUGUGCAGCAGCAGGCAUGAAUGCUGUUCCGUAGCAGCAGAAAACAAGACCACUUGUUGAAGAGGAGCACAAGUUCCAUUUCCUGAUGUGCCCUAAGCUAUAGCUGGAAUGCUGUCUAAACACUGUUCCUAAGAUACCAUCAAAUGGACUUUAUCAGUGUAGUUUAAGCUCUCGCCUCUCGGAAAUCUGUUCCUGUGUUUGCUUCCCUCCUUGGAUUCCACAUAGAGAAGAACUGACAACAUCACCACAAGACUGAUGGUUAACUUACACCAAUGUGUACGUAACGUGUGUAACUGGAUGUAAACCGAUUUGCAACACAAUCCUCAGUAUUUGACUAAGAAGUAAGCCUUACUGAGUUCUGUGAAAUUUACUCUCUGUUAAGGCUGCUUAGAUUAGAUUAGAAUUGCAACCUUAGAUAAAGCUCAGAAGGGCUUUACCACUACAGAAAUAAAUGUCCUGAAUCAGCAUUCAAGGUAUUUCACAUCUCUGCAUUAUGCAUAGUUUUAUUGCUUGUGUCAGGAAGCUGGAAGGGUCACAGAAUUCCACUAAAACUGUAUAUUUAACUGGACAUAUAUUUCACAGGCUGACAUUCAAUGAACUUACUCCAAAGGAUGACUUAAUUUUAAUAGGACUACUCAGAAGUAAUUUAGUCUGGAUGUCAGCCACUGUUUUUAAGAAUUAGCCCACUUGAACAAUAAACCUUCCUUAUAC